rnacentral:rRNA from 1 species
AUUGAACGCUGGCGGCAUGCUUUACACAUGCAAGUCGAACGGCAGCGGGAGAGAAGCUUGCUUCUCUUGUCGGCGAGUGGCGAACGGGUGAGUAAUACAUCGGAACGUACCCUGUAGUGGGGGAUAACUACUCGAAAGAGUAGCUAAUACCGCAUACAACCUGAGGGUAAAAGUGGGGGACCGCAAGGCCUCACGCUAUAGGAGCGGCCGAUGGAAGAUUAGCUAGUUGGUAGGGUAAAGGCCUACCAAGGCGACGAUCUUUAGCGGGUCUGAGAGGACGAUCCGCCACACUGGGACUGAGACACGGCCCAGACUCCUACGGGAGGCAGCAGUGGGGAAUUUUGGACAAUGGGCGAAAGCCUGAUCCAGCAAUGCCGCGUGAGUGAAGAAGGCCUUCGGGUUGUAAAGCUCUUUUGUUUGGGAAGAAAUCCUAACGGAUAAUACCUGUUGGGGAUGACGGUACCAAAAGAAUAAGCACCGGCUAACUACGUGCCAGCCGCCGCCGUAA